rnacentral:rRNA from 1 species
GACGAACGCUGGCGGCGUGCUUAACACAUGCAAGUCGAACGGAAAGGCCCUGCUUGCAGGGUACUCGAGUGGCGAACGGGUGAGUAACACGUGGGUGAUCUGCCCUGCACUUCGGGAUAAGCCUGGGAAACUGGGUCUAAUACCGGAUAGGAGCCAUUUUUAGUGUGAUGGUUGGAAAGUUUUUUCGGUGUAGGAUGAGCUCGCGGCCUAUCCGCUUGUUGGUGGGGUAAUGGCCUACCAAGGCGGCGACGGGUAGCCGGCCUGAGAGGGUGGACGGCCACAGUGGGACUGAGAUACGGCCCAGACUCCUACGGGAGGCAGCAGUGGGGAAUAUUGCACAAUGGGCGCAAGCCUGAUGCAGCGACGCCGCGGGGGGGAUGACGGCCUUCGGGUUGUAAACUCCUUUCGCUAGGGACGAAGCUUUUUGUGACGGUACCUAGAUAAGAAGCACCGGCUAACUACGUG